AUUGAACGCUGGCGGCAUGCCUAACACAUGCAAGUCGAACGGCAGCACAGUGUGUAGCAAUACACAUGGGUGGCGAGUGGCGGACGGGUGAGGAAUACAUAGGAAUCUGCCUUGUAGCGGGGGAUAGUCCGGGGAAACUCGGGGUAAUACCGCAUACGACCUACGGGUGAAAGAGGGGGAUCGUAAGACCUCUCACUAUAAGAUGAGCCUAUGUCCGAUUAGCAGUUGGUGGGGUAAAGGCCUACCAAGGCGACGAUCGGUAGCUGGUCUGAGAGGACGACCAGCCACAUCGGAACUGAGACACGGUCCGAACUCCUACGGGAGGCAGCAGUGGGGAAUAUUGGACAAUGGGCGAAAGCCUGAUCCAGCAAUGCCGCGUGUGUGAAGAAGGCCU
rnacentral:rRNA from 1 species